CUAAGUUUGAUGGCGACCGGCGCACGGGUGAGUAACACGUAUCCAACCUGCCGAUGACUCGGGGAUAGCCUUUCGAAAGAAAGAUUAAUACCCGAUGGGAUAAUUAUUCCGCAUGGUUUGAUUAUUAAAGGAUUCCGGUAAAGGAUGGGGAUGCGUUCCAUUAGGUUGUUGGUGAGGUAACGGCCCACCAAGACUACGAUGGAUAGGGGUUCUGAGAGGAAGGUCCCCCACAUUGGAACUGAGACACGGUCCAA
rnacentral:rRNA from 1 species